CUCCUCCACUUGUACUCCACCGCCACCACCCAAGGAGCGCCACGCGCACAGCUCGUCUUCUGAAGCAAACAACAGACACAAGCGGGGACGAAUCCGUCCCGCGGCGGUUCGUCGAUCGAUCCGAUGGGGCGGCGGUCCAGCGCGUCGCCGGUGGGGUCGGGGGAGCCGCUGCUGCCGGAGGUGCGGAAGUGCGUCAGCGGCGGCGCGACGAUGCAGCGGUCCCUGUCGCGGGCGGACGACGAGCUGCAGUGGUUCCGGUCGUGCCUGCGGUGGGUGUGCAUGGACCACUCCGCCCCGGGCCGCGCAGCGCUGUCCUGGCUGCUCUUCCUGCUCCUCGCCGUGGUCGUCCCGGCCACCGCGCACUUCCUCCUCACCUUCCGCCCCUCGCGCCGCCCCUUCGACGCCGUCGUCCAGGUCUCGCUCUCCGCCGCCUCAGGCGCCAGCUUCCUCUGCCUCUCCUCCUCCUUCCGCCGCAUCGGCCUCCGCCGCCUGCUCUACCUCGACAAGCUCCGCACCAACAGCGACCGCGUCAGGCUCAACUACACCGCCCGCCUCGCCUUCUCCUUCCGCCUCCUCGCCUCCCUCGUCGCGCCCUGCUUCGCCGCCGAGGCCGCAUACAAGGCCUGGUGGUACGCUACCUCAGCCGACCGCGUCCCCUUCUUCGCCAACGACGUCCUCAGCGACGUCCUCGCAUGCUCCCUCGAGAUGGCCUCCUGGAUGUACCGCAGCGCCAUCUACCUCCUCACCUGCGUCCUCUUCCGCCUCAUCUGCCACCUCCAGGGCCUCCGCCUCGAGGACUUCGCCGGCUCCCUGCUCGUCGAGGUGGAGGAAGGGAGGAUGGGGGUGGAGCGCGUCCUCAGGGAGCACCUCGACAUCCGCAAGCAGCUCAAGGUCAUCAGCCACCGUUUCCGUCGGUUCAUCGUCGCCGCGCUGCUCAUCGGCACCGCCAGCCAGUUCGCCUCCGUGCUCCUCACCACGCGCCACGACUCCAUCGACGACCUCCUCCACACCGGCGAGCUCGCGCUAUGUUCAGUGGUGCUCAUGUCCGGGCUCAUCAUAAUCCUGAGCAGCGCCGCCAAGAUCACUCACCAAGCGCAGGCCCUCACGGGCCAGACCACCAAGUGGCACGCCUGCUGCACAAUCGAGCCGGUCCCGGACGACGAGAUAAAUCCGGGAUCCAACCAGAACUCCAUGCUGGAAGAGUACCCCGAGGACGAGAGCGACUGCGAGUCCAGCGAGGAGACCGGUGAUGAGGACAUGCUGGAGAACACCAAGUUCCUCCAGCCUCACACGCACGUGAUCUCCUUCCAGAAGAGGCAGGCACUAGUGACGUACCUGGAGAACAACAAGGCCGGCAUCACCGUGUUCGGGUUCACGCUGGACCGGUCGUACCUCCACACCAUAUUCAUGCUCGAGUGGACGCUCUUCCUGUGGCUGCUGGGGAAAACUGUCGGCUUCUCAUGAACGCCAAGGAAUGUCAUCGUCCUUCCCAGCCAGGUGGUUCGAUUCCGUUCCAUAUUUUUUUGCUGUCGCCGGUUUGAUCCUUGUGAAAAGAGAAGGAAUGGGUUUUUUUUGUGUGUGCGCGCGGGUGGCACGUGAGUGGUGUGCACUUGUAUGCUAGCAGCGAUUUUGUGUGAUGGUCGUGUAAAUUAUUAUGGGUUGAUUGCUCGUGCAUGUAAGGUGUAUGUACAGGCUUAGAUGAGUGCUUUAGAGCCUCGUGCGUGCGUGCGUGACGCUUGACAUUGCAGGUUUAUAAUCUCAGGUUGUAACUUGUAAGCCAGCAUCAGUUAUACAGCAGGUGUGUCAAAAAAAGAAAACUCUUUCCUUUAUUUUGGUUCUACCGGCUGUUCUCCUGAAGAAAAUGUUUUCUGCUCCAUUCGGUAUGAAUUCUAUGGGAUAUGAGAUGGUAUUUCAUAUUCAGUACAUGUAUAAUAGUCGAAGCAUUUCAAUGCAGGUGAGGGUGGUACAUCUAAUGGUAGUUUUGGUAGGAGCUGGGAUCCUACCAGUCCUAGCCCUCAAGUUGUAGGGGUGAAAGGGAGGAUGGCGAGGUGAUGGGCGCGAGCGGCAGCGCUGUGGUCGCACGGCGAGGAGGAGAAGGUGUGGGAGGAGCGGCUAGGGUUUAGGGUUCCGGCUCCUGAAGGGAGCCGGGCAAUAGUUAUGACUUAUUGCUUAAUUCCAAAACCUGUGCUGAUGAUCCUGUAAAUUAUUAUGGGUUGAUUGCUCAUGGAUGUAAGGCGUAUGUACAGUUGUAUAUUGAGUGCCGUAGAG
rnacentral:rRNA from 1 species